CUCUCUCUCUCUCUCUCUCUCUCUGUAGGAUUACCUCAAAACCAUUAUUCCUUUGCAGUUUAUCGCCGAGGGAGGCUCGAUUCUCAUCGUUAGAAAUCCAUGUAAGGAAAACCCUAACCGUGCAUCUAAUGCAUCACCCACCUCCACGGUAAUUUUCCUCUCUUCUUCAGUUCUAACAUUUCAAUUCUUUUUUCAGUUUAGUCCUGAAACAAUAUUCCCCGUUGACUCCAAUCUCUCUCUCUCUCUCUCUGUUUUUUUAGAAAUGUAUGCAUGCGUGAAGGCGAGGCAUUUUUACAGCACCUUCUUUGUCUAUAUAUUUUUUUAAUUUUUGGUAAUGUGGAUUUUCAAUGAAUGAAUAGGGUUUGGGUCUGUUUGGAUGCUUGGAAUGGCCAUCCAUUCAGAUCUUCUCAAGUCUAGAUGAUCAUCUCAUUUUUAGGCUUGAGAUGCUCCAGAUGCACAAGAUUUGAAGGACAAUAUCUUAAGAGUAGGGGAAAGGAAGAUUUCAAUGCCAUUUUUGCAAGGUUUACAACUUUAAGAGGGGUGUUUUGUGUGGAUGUUGCUGAUAUUUAUAAUACAAUCUCCCUCCUGUAUUUCAUGCAUGCUAACUAUUUGAUAAAAUGGCUCAACAAGGAGUGUUUUGUGUGGAUGUAGCUGAUAUUUAUGAUACAAUCUCCCUCUUAUAUUUCGUUCAUGCUAAUUGUUUGAUGAAAUAGCUCAAGAAGGAAUGAGAAGCUAGCACAACUAUCAUUAGGCUAUGAUCUGACUAAUCCUUGAUCUUGGGCGUGUGGAGAAAAGUUUAUCAAGAUUGAGCAGGUGCGUGUUUACAAAGAGCCAUCACUCACAAUUCCUGAAACUCCAGGAAUUGUGCAGCAUGGGAUUUUGAACAACAGAAGGCAGGUCUUGACUAAGCGGAGUGGUUGCAGGUUUACAUAUCUGGGGCUGGUGCUUUUUCAGGAUGAGGAGUGGCUCGAGCUGUUAGUGAGGUUGUAGUUGGCAAUCCGGUGAAGUGAGAUCUUACACAUAUCAUUCCAUGUUAGCAUUUGGUGGUCCCUAUUGUGCUGAUAAGCUUUUAAAUAUCAUUGUGGAGUGUUGCACAUUUUUCACCCAUAGAAAGUAGUGUGGGCAAUCUGUUUCAAAACUUUCAGAUUGGAGUUAUAGGAAACCUUCUUCUAACCAGGUGGUGGUCCUGCUUCCUAGCUGUUUGUACUUGCUAUAAUUUUGAAAUAGAUGCUUGCCCACCUCUAUACAUGAAUAUGCUCUGCUUCCUGUCAUAUUUUGUGCAACCAUAUUUCAUAUAUUUUCUCUAGGUGUAAAUUAAUUUAGAUGGUUCUCUUGAAAGCACCUUUAUUUCUUUCUUUGUUUUAGAGUGCAUCUUAGAGAGAUUUGUAUUAAACUGAAUUGAUGGAAGGAUUGAAUGUCAUUAAAACAUCUUAAUAGGCCUUGCACAUCAAUUUGUAUGUUUAGCUUAUCCUAGGGACAUUUGUAUCAGACUAUGAAUUGAAUUGGCAAAAUUUAAUCAAGUGGAAACAAGUACUUAUGUUUGGGAGAUUUUCUUUGUGGUUCUCA